rnacentral:rRNA from 1 species
AGGACGAACGCUGGCGGCGUGCUUAACACAUGCAAGUCGAGCGGAAAGGCCCUUCGGGGUACUCGAGCGGCGAACGGGUGAGUAACACGUGAGCAACCUGCCCUUAGCUCUGGGAUAGCUCCGGGAAACCGGAAUUAGUACCGGAUAUUACACCGGCUGGCAUCGGCUGGUGUGGAAAGAUUUAUCGGCUAAGGAUGGACUCGCGGCCUAUCAGCUUGUUGGUGGGGUAGAAGCCUACCAAGGCGACGACGGGUA